UACGUAGGGGGCUAGCGUUGUCCGGAUUUAUUGGGCGUAAAGAGCGUGUAGGCGGCCAGGUAGGUCUGCUGUGAAAACUCGAGGCUCAACCUCGAGACGUCGGCGGAAACCAUCUGGCUAGAGUCCGGAAGAGGAGAGUGGAAUUCCUGGUGUAGCGGUGAAAUGCGCAGAUAUCAGGAAGAACACCCGUGGCGAAGGCGGCAUCCUGGACCGGUAUUGACGCUGAGGCGCGAAAGCCAGGGGAGCAAACGGG
rnacentral:rRNA from 1 species